AAGUUUAUACCACCUACUUCAAGGGAAUGUCGGCAUGCAUAUUUUCUGCGACUUAGUAAAUGAGUGGAUUUGUAUUUUGAUUCUCAAAGUGCAGGUGUAUCUCUCAAGGCUGAAUUAUGAAAUGAUGCAUGAAAAAAAUUUGAAGAAAUUUCUUCGCGGACAGAUGGUCUGAUUAUAGCAUGUAUUGUUGCCCACACCAUUGUAUUGAGAAAAGUACCAAAA